ensembl:lncRNA
UGAGAGUUUAGCAUGGCUGCUUUAGGGCCUCUGGAGCAGUUCUGUUUGGUGCGACAUCACUCAGGGGUGCAGUAUCAGCGGGUGUUUUUAUUAAGAUGGCCGCCCACCUCUUGCCAGUUCAUUUGUCUUUAGUGCUUCAGUGGGAUUGACCUCCACCGAAGGGAUGUUUUUCCAACUUAGAAAGUGUUUAUGCAAUGUUAUGAAGCAAUUAGCAUAUAUUUGGUUAUAAGUUGUUACUCCAUUUUCUUUGUUUUUAUCUCUAGCUGAAAGAAGCUAUAAAGGAUAGAAUGGUCUCCAGGUGACCCCCUUCACUGUGACCAAGGUAAUUCAACUGUAUGAGACCAAAACCUCCCGACACUCCUCGAUGAUCGUGGAGAAGACGGGCAGCGGCAAGACGGUCACAUGGAGAACCCUUCAAAACGCCCUUAGCACCCUGCACCGCAACGGAGAACCGGGAUUCAACCUCAUACAAGAGUGUCCCCUAAACCCCAAGGCAGUGAGCCUGUGAGAGCUGUAUGGAGAAUAUAACCUCUCCACCAAUGAGUGCACAGAUGGUGUCCUCUCUUCGCUCAUGAUGGUGCCCUGCGCAGGUAUGUUUUGUGUUUUGUUUUAUUCUUUUUUGUGUGUGUGUUUUGUUUUGUACUUGCGUUUUUUUCUUUAUGUGUACCCUUUGUAAGCUUGCAACUUAACUUGAGUUUAAAGAUAGGAAACAAAAUAUUGUGUACGAUUUGGAUUCAGCCUUUUGUUUGGAUCUCCCUUGUAGUCAAAUAUACAUGCAUGUACAGACAGCAGUCUGCGGUAGAUUUCUGUAGCAGU